UCUGUUUCUUCUGCCUCCGCGCGCAGCAUCGGAGAAGAAGCCCUAACCCUAGAGUUUCUUUCUUCGCAAAUCCUUGCCUUCAUCUUCGCCGUUGAAAACCCUAAUCGUGGUACGAAGAGUCACUAAACGGCGGGUUUCUCGUUAUUGGGGGAUGUCUCGAUGCUAUCCGUACCCUCCUCCGGGAUUUGUGAAGGACGGGGGACCGUGGAUCGAUUGUAUUAAGCCCCCCUUUUUAAAAUUCUUGCAUUGGUGCUAUUUAUAGCUCCAAAGAGAAAGGGAGAAUAUCAAAACAGAAAUAAAGAAAGAGAAGAAAAGGGAGAAGAAGGAGACGAAGGAGAAAAGGAAAUCUGAUAGAGGAAAAGAGAAACCCGCUGAUACUGGUCACGGCAAAAGAAGAAAGCUCGAUUACCAGAAGUAUGACCAACUAGAGCAAAGUAGAGAAGAGUUUCGAGGUGCUCAUAUUCAAAAACAAAUUGAAGCUGAGGCUGAACAAUUGGAAAGGAGUGGUGUUACUGAUGAACAUGAGCAGCCGACCUGUUCUAUAAAUCUUUGCUCGGACAGCCUUCAGGGAAGCAACAAGAGGAUAAGGGACACCUCACCAACUAGUGGCCUCCGCAGUCAUGGAACCAUUGUGCGGAUUCGGCUGCAUAUGAAGGACCGGAAUAAUGAGAAGUUACGCUCUACUUCUGGAAGGGUUGAUGAUUUUCAUGCUCAGCACAAGAAUGGAAGUGUCAAAUUUCCUAGUCAAGAACAGGGCUGCUUUACUAAUACCAAGGAAAAUAUACUUGCUGCGAAGCUCACCAUUAGGCCAAAAAAAGAAGCAACCUGUCCGGUGCCAGGUAGGCAUGAAACACCAACCUCAUUCAAAUAUGAGAACUGGGUGCCACCUCCGCCCCAGUAUCAUCAGGGAAACGAUUUCAGUGAUGAUGAAGAAUGGCUUUUUAAGACGCAGCGGGAAAACAAAUAUGAGUCUGAAAGAUAUGAAGCUCGGAACAAUGCCAUUGGUUGUAGGAGUCCCAUGUUGCGGCCACGCGCCUAUUACUUGCCGGAAGCUGACGUGUAUGCAUUACCCUACACGGUUCCAUUUUGAUUCUUCAUCCCCUUUUUUUAUCUUUUUUGUUUGGGCAUCCGCGGCUUGUACAUUUGAGCUUAGUACUGCAAGAAAUUUUGAUAAUUUGAUGGUACUCAUAGAGUAAUUUUUUGCAAAUACCACCUAAACCCAUUGUUGAUCUUUUCUACA